rnacentral:rRNA from 1 species
GACGAACGCUGGCGGCGUGCUUAACACAUGCAAGUCGAACGGAAAGGCCCUGCUUUUGUGGGGUGCUCGAGUGGCGAACGGAUGAGUAACACGUGAGUAACCUGCCCUUGACUUUGGGAUAACUUCAGGAAACUGGGGCUAAUACAGGAUAGGAGCUCCUGCUGCAUGGUGGGGGUUGGAAAGUUUCGGCGGUUGGGGAUGGACUCGCGGCUUAUCCGCUUGUUGGUGGGGUAGGGGCUUACCAAGGUUUUGACGGGUAGCCGGCCUGGGAGGGUGACCGGCCACAUUGGGACUGCGGUACGGCCCAGUCUCCUACGGGCGGCAGCAGUGGGGAAUAUUGCGCAAUGGGCGGAAGCCUGAUGCAGCAACGCCGCGUGCGGGAUGACGGCCUUCGGGUUGUAAACCGCUUUCGCCUGUGACGAAGCGUUAGUGACGGUAAUGGGUAAAGAAGCACCGGCUAACUACGUG